rfam:Chloroflexus aggregans DSM 9485, complete genome.
CGUCCCGUCGGCUGCGGCGGGCAGCACGGCCGACAUUGGCCGGCCGGUUGCCCGCCUUCGUUUGUUGAUGACCGAAACGCAACA